rnacentral:rRNA from 1 species
GUCUUAAUUGGGCGUUAAGUUGCAGGGUAUAGACCCGAAACCCGGUGAUCUAGCCAUGGGCAGGUUGAAGGUUGGGUAACACUAACUGGAGGACCGAACCGACUAAUGUUGAAAAAUUAGCGGAUGACCUGUGGCUGGGGGUGAAAGGCCAAUCAAACCGGGAGAUAGCUGGUUCUCCCCGAAAGCUAUUUAGGUAGCGCCUCGUGAAUUCAUCUCCGGGGGUAGAGCACUGUUUCGGCUAGGGGGCCAUCCCGGCUUACCAACCCGAUGCAAACUGCGAAUACCGGAGAAUGUUAUCACGGGAGACACACGGCGGGUGCUAACGUCCGUCGUGAAGAGGGAAACAACCCAGACCGCCAGCUAAGGUCCCAAAGUCAUGGUUAAGUGGGAAACGAUGUGGGAAGGCCCAGACAGCCAGGAUGUUGGCUUAGAAGCAGCCAUCAUUUAAAGAAAGCGUAAUAGCUCACUGGUCGAGUCGGCCUGCGCGGAAGAUGUAACGGGGCUAAACCAUGCACCGAAGCUGCGGCAGCGACACUGUGUGUUGUUGGGUAGGGGAGCGUUCUGUAAGCCUGUGAAGGUGUGUCGUGAGGCAUGCUGGAGGUAUCAGAAGUGCGAAUGCUGACAUAAGUAACGAUAAAGCGGGUGAAAAGCCCGCUCGCCGGAAGACCAAGGGUUCCUGUCCAACGUUAAUCGGGGCAGGGUGAGUCGACCCCUAAGGCGAGGCCGAAAGGCGUAGUCGAUGGGAAACGGGUUAAUAUUCCCGUACUUGGUGUUACUGCGAAGGGGGGACGGAGAAGGCUAUGUUGGCCGGGCGACGGUUGUCCCGGUUUAAGCGUGUAGGUGUGUGUUCCAGGUAAAUCCGGUUCACUUUAACACUGAGGCGUGACGACGAGGCACUACGGUGCUGAAGCAACAAAUGCCCUGCUUCCAGGAAAAGCCUCUAAGCAUCAGGUAACAUCAAAUCGUACCCCAAACCGACACAGGUGGUCAGGUAGAGAAUACCAAGGCGCUUGAGAGAACUCGGGUGAAGGAACUAGGCAAAAUGGUGCCGUAACUUCGGGAGAAGGCACGCUGACACGUAGGUGAAGUGAUUUACUCAUGGAGCUGAAGUCAGUCGAAGAUACCAGCUGGCUGCAACUGUUUAUUAAAAACACAGCACUGUGCAAACACGAAAGUGGACGUAUACGGUGUGACGCCUGCCCGGUGCCGGAAGGUUAAUUGAUGGGGUCAGCGCAAGCGAAGCUCCUGAUCGAAGCCCCGGUAAACGGCGGCCGUAACUAUAACGGUCCUAAGGUAGCGAAAUUCCUUGUCGGGUAAGUUCCGACCUGCACGAAUGGCGUAAUGAUGGCCAGGCUGUCUCCACCCGAGACUCAGUGAAAUUGAACUCGCUGUGAAGAUGCAGUGUACCCGCGGCAAGACGGAAAGACCCCGUGAACCUUUACUAUAGCUUGACACUGAACAUUGAGCCUUGAUGUGUAGGAUAGGUGGGAGGCUUUGAAGUGUGGACGCCAGUCUGCAUGGAGCCGACCUUGAAAUACCACCCUUUAAUGUUUGAUGUUCUAACGUGGACCCGUUACCCGGGUUGCGGACAGUGUCUGGUGGGUAGUUUGACUGGGGCGGUCUCCUCCUAAAGAGUAACGGAGGAGCACGAAGGUUGGCUAAUCCUGGUCGGACAUCAGGAGGUUAGUGCAAUGGCAUAAGCCAGCUUGACUGCGAGCGUGACGGCGCGAGCAGGUGCGAAAGCAGGUCAUAGUGAUCCGGUGGUUCUGAAUGGAAGGGCCAUCGCUCAACGGAUAAAAGGUACUCCGGGGAUAACAGGCUGAUACCGCCCAAGAGUUCAUAUCGACGGCGGUGUUUGGCACCUCGAUGUCGGCUCAUCACAUCCUGGGGCUGAAGUAGGUCCCAAGGGUAUGGCUGUUCGCCAUUUAAAGUGGUACGCGAGCUGGGUUUAGAACGUCGUGAGACAGUUCGGUCCCUAUCUGCCGUGGGCGCUGGAGAACUGAGGGGGGCUGCUCCUAGUACGAGAGGACCGGAGUGGACGCAUCACUGGUGUUCGGGUUGUCAUGCCAAUGGCACUGCCCGGUAGCUAAAUGCGGAAGAGAUAAGUGCUGAAAGCAUCUAAGCACGAAACUUGCCCCGAGAUGAGUUCUCCCUGAGACUUAGAGUCUCCUGAAGGAACGUUGAAGACGACGACGUUGAUAGGCCGGGUGUGUAAGCGCAGCGAUGCGUUGAGCUAACCGGUACUAAUGAACCGUGAGGCUUAACCUUACAACGCCG